CCCCUAGGAAGGUCUCAGGCUAGUCAGGG
rnacentral:piRNA from 1 species